GACGAACGCUGGCGGCGUGCUUAACACAUGCAAGUCGAACGGGUCUGCCCUGUUUUUUGCGGGGUGGGUCAGUGGCGAACGGGUGAGUAACACGUGAGUAACCUGCCCCUCACUUCUGGAUAACCGCUUGAAAGGGUGGCUAAUACGGGGUGUUCUGGCUGUGCCGCAUGGUGUGGCUGGGAAAGAUUCACUUUUGUGGUGUUUUGGUGGGGGAUGGGCUCGCGGCCUAUCAGCUUGUUGGUGGGGUGAUGGCCUGCCAAGGCUUUGACGGGUAGCCGGCCUGAGAGGGUGGGCGGUAACACUGGGACUGAGAUACGGCCCAGACUCCUGCGGGAGGCAGCAGUGGGGGGUAUUGCACAAUGGGCGGAAGCCUGAUGCAGCGGCGUCGCGUGAGGGAUGGAGGCCUUCGGGUUGUGAACCUCUUUCGCCGGUGAAGAAGGUCCUGCUCUUUGUGGUGGGGUUGACGGUAGCCGGGUUAUGAAGCGCCGGCUAACUACGUG
rnacentral:rRNA from 1 species